rnacentral:rRNA from 1 species
GACAGAGGUGCCAAGCGUUAGGCGGAAUCACUGGGCUUAAAGCGUGUGUAGGCGGAUCGUUAAGUACCUUGUGAAAUCCCACGGCUCAACCGUGGAACUGCUGGGUAUACUGGCGAUCUUGAGCCACCUAGGGGCGAGCGGAACAAGCGGUGGAGCGGUGAAAUGCGCAGAUAUCAGGAGGAACACCGAUGGCGAAGGCAGGUCUCUGGGCCACUACUGACGCUGAGAAGCGAAAGCAUGGGGAGCGAACAGG